rnacentral:rRNA from 1 species
UACGAAGGGGGCUAGCGUUGCUCGGAAUCACUGGGCGUAAAGGGUGCGUAGGCGGGUUUUUAAGUCAGGGGUGAAAUCCUGGAGCUCAACUCCAGAACUGCCUUUGAUACUGAAGAUCUUGAGUCCGGGAGAGGUGAGUGGAACUGCGAGUGUAGAGGUGAAAUGCGUAGAUAUCGUAAGGAAGACCAGUGGCGAAGGCGGGUCUCUGGACAGUUCCUGACGCUGAGGGCACGA